rnacentral:rRNA from 1 species
CCUACGGGAGGCAGCAGUGGGGAAUAUUGCACAAUGGGCGAAAGCCUGAUGCAGCGACGCCGCGUGAAGGAGGAAGUAUUUCGGUAUGUAAACUUCUAUCAGCAGGGAAGAAAAUGACGGUACCUGACCAAGAAGCUCCGGCUAAAUACGUGCCAGCAGCCGCGGUAAUACGUAUGGAGCAAGCGUUAUCCGGAUUUACUGGGUGUAAAGGGAGCGCAGGCGGCGCGCCAAGCCAGAUGUGAAAGGCGGGGGCUCAACCCCCGGACUGCAUUUGGAACUGGCGUGCUGGAGUGCAGGAGAGGCAGGCGGAAUUCCUAGUGUAGCGGUGAAAUGCGUAGAUAUUAGGAGGAACACCAGUGGCGAAGGCGGCCUGCUGGACUGUGACUGACGCUGAGGCUCGAAAGCGUGGGGAGCAAACAGGAUUAGAUACCCGAGUA